rnacentral:misc_RNA from 1 species
UCAACUCAUUUGGAUCACUUGAAUUUCUAUUUCUAGGAUUUGUUUGCCAAGCUUUCCUCGGUACGAACUCAGGUGCAUGUGGAUUCAUGCUCCUUGAAGGCAUUGUCAGGGGAGUUUGAUGUUUCAGCAAAGCUUGUCUCAUGCGGUAUGCUCUUUUAUUUCUAUAGAACAGUGGCGAUCUAGGCCCACAAGGAACUCUAGCAGCAAGUGGAGAUGCCACAGGCUCUGCAAGCAUGCUUUGACUAGCUCUUACAUCAUAAAUGCUUGUCAUGGCAACUGAGUUUAAUGGGUGAACUAUGGACAGUGUUCCUGGAUUGAAUGGUUCAGCUGCAGCUGAAAGCUUACUUCCAUUUUUUUCAUCUGACUUUUCCUGAUUAGAUGUAGGAGUCUCAUCAAGCUCAGAUCCAGAUUUUUCUGACUCAGUUCCACUAUCAUGAAUUUCAUCUGUUUCACCAUCAUCUGGCACACUAUCAACAACAGAGAUAUUGUUGCUUUCCUCCUCCAUUGAUGUCUCAUGAGGGACGCUGCAUGUUUGAG